rnacentral:rRNA from 1 species
GAUGAACGCUGGCGGCGUGCCUAAUACAUGCAAGUCGAACGGACAACCUAGUAGUGUAGCUCCCUCAGAUUUAGCUGGGAUCUGUGGGUGAACGGGGGAGUAACGAGCUGUUAACCUGGGUUAAACUGGGGGAAACCGGGCAGAUACCAGUGAAAAUAUUGCAUAAGAGCGCUCAAUCGUGUAAGACGGUUUUUAUAUCACCUAUAGUAUGAUACGCGCCGCAUUAGCUAGAUGGUAAGGGAACGGCUUACGAAGGCAACGACGCGUAGCCGACCUGAGAGGGUGAUCGGCCACACUGGAACUGAGACACGGUCCAGACUCCUACGGGAGGCAGCAGUAGGGAAUCUUCCGCAAUGGGCGAAAGCCUGACGGAGCAACGCCGCGUGAGUGAUGAAGGUCUUCGGAUCGUAAAACUCUGUUAUUAGGGAAGAACAAAUGUGUAAGUAACUAUGCACGUCUUGACGGUACCUAAUCAGAAAGCCACGGCUAACUACGUG